UACGAAGGGGGCUAGCGUUGUUCGGAAUCACUGGGCGUAAAGAGCACGUAGGCGGACUUGUUAGUCAGGGGUGAAAUCCCGGGGCUCAACCCCGGAACUGCCCUUGAAACUGCAAGUCUUGAGUCCGAGAGAGGUGAGUGGAAUUCCUAGUGUAGAGGUGAAAUUCGUAGAUAUUAGGAAGAACACCAGUGGCGAAGGCGGCUCACUGGCUCGGUACUGACGCUGAGGUGCGAAAGCGUGGGGAGCAAACAGA
rnacentral:rRNA from 1 species